CCUACGGGUGGCAGCAGUGAGGAAUAUUGGUCAAUGGGCGGAAGCCUGAACCAGCCAAGUAGCGUGCAGGAUGACGGCCCUACGGGUUGUAAACUGCUUUUAUACGGGAAUAACGCGCCUUACGUGUAGGGCUUUGCAUGUACCGUAUGAAUAAGGACCGGCUAAUUCCGUGCCAGCAGCCGCGGUAAUACGGAGGGCCCGGGCGUUAUCCGGAUUUAUUGGGUUUAAAGGGAGCGUAGGCCGCAUGUCAAGCGUGCUGUGAAAUGUCCGGGCUCAACCCGGGCCUUGCCGCGGGAACUGGCGGGCUUGAGUCCGCGGACAGCAGGCGGAAUUCGUCGUGUAGCGGUGAAAUGCUUAGAGAUGACGCAGAACCCCGAUUGCGAAGGCAGCUUGCUGCAGCGGAACUGACGCUGAUGCUCGAAAGCGCGGGUAUCGAACAGGAUUAGAUACCCUUGUAGUC
rnacentral:rRNA from 1 species